rnacentral:misc_RNA from 1 species
GAUGAAGAACGUAGUGAAAUGCGAUAAGUAGUGUGAAUUGCAGAAUUCAGUGAAUCAUCGAAUCUUUGAACGCACAUUGCGCCCCUUGGUAUUCCAUGGGGCAUGCCUGUUCGAGCGUCAUUUGUACCUUCAAGCUCUGCUUGGUGUUGGGUGAUUGUCUAUCUUUAUAGACUCGCCUUAAAGUCAUUGGCAGCCGGCAUAUUGGCCUGGGAGCGCAGCACAAGUCGCGCUUCUUGUCAUGAAUGUUGGCGUCCAGUAAGUCUACAUAUUUUGCUCUUGACCUCGGAUCAGGUAGGGAUACCCGCUGAACUUAAGCAUAUCAAUAAGCGGAGGA